AGAGCCAAGAUGGCGGCCAGCAGGAGGCUGAUGAAGGAGCUUGAAGAAAUCCGCAAAUGUGGAAUGAAAAACUUCCGUAAUAUCCAGGUUGAUGAAGCUAAUUUAUUGACCUGGCAAGGGCUUAUUGUUCCUGACAAUCCUCCAUAUGAUAAAGGAGCCUUCAGAAUUGAAAUCAACUUCCCAGCAGAAUAUCCAUUCAAACCUCCUAAGAUCACAUUUAAAACAAAGAUCUAUCAUCCUAACAUCGAUGAAAAGGGGCAGGUUUGUCUGCCAGUAAUUAGUGCUGAAAACUGGAAGCCAGCAACCAAAACUGACCAAGAUUUCUUCUUCACUGAAAAAUCAAUCCUAGCUUUUCUCAGUGAAAUAACAUGACAUCAUCAGUACAGCAUCAAAGUGAUUGGUUUUGUUCACGCAGGUGUCAGACAAGUGAUGUGAUAAAGUUCAUCAUAAAUCACUAACUUACCUUUUGCAUACUAAAUGUGCAUCUUACUGCUGCACUUUUUGUUAAUUUAUACUUAAUAUUAAAAAAUAACUGUUAAUGGCAGGAUAGUUUUCAAAACUCUGUAGUUAUUGAGACAGCUCCUGUUCUGCCAGGCCUGUUUUUUCUGGCUUUUUACUGUUGCUAAGGUUAUUGAAGACACAUUUUCUCUGUAGUGUUUUUGCAAGCUUUGCUCAGUGAGAAGGGAUUGCCACUCAGUGUUUCUGCUGUUUUCAUCAAUGUGAUGGCACUUGUAAGGCCAGGACUGGUGAGUUACUGUGAAGGAAGAUGGUAUCAAUUCUGCAUUUCUUAGAUAGUUUGUUGCAGUUUAAACUUGGAUUUGUGGUAAGAAAUGCUCCUGUUUAGCAGUUUAGAGAUAAAUGUCAGAUUUGAGCGUUGCUUUGAGUAUUUGUUUUGAGGUUUGUUCAUGGGUGGAAAAGACUGAGAUCAAUGCCCCAAACAAAGUCACUCUGGUGUUCCAACAUCUGCUGGAGUGACCAUCAUUGUAUGAGCUUGCAUUCCUGCCCAGGGAAACAUGUAGCAGUAAAUGGCACUGUGGGCUGUGCGGUUUGCUGUGUAAAUGUCAGGUGCACUUCCAUUCCCUGAAGAAUGUCUUGUCUUUGGAAAGUGACAAGGACAAUGGUGACAUUGCUGUGGGCACCUUGCCACUCUCACCCCGUUGUUUGCCCAGUACAUCUCCACUGGUGCCUGCCUUGGGAAGUUGAGAGUAAAGGGAAGACAUUCCUGCUGUUCAUAGGAAAAGUAAGAAUCAUAGGGAAAUAAAGCUGUAAAAAAGGGUUUCCAGAAGAGGGCCAGUCACAGCUGCAUCCCUGUGACAGGUGUUGGGAAAUGCUUCAUGGUGCAAAUUCCAUCUUUACCAAAUCCCUUCAGUGAACCUGCCUGAGAACUUUGAUUCGUUCUCAGCCAUAGGAGAGGAUUUUAGAUGGGCUGCCAAUUGCAUGGGAGAUAAUUUGUAGUGCACUUUAGUCUCUAUUCAUGUUGAUUUUGUUUACAAAUACGAUUUUUCUGGUGUUCAUUCAAGGUCAUUGAGCUAAAUCUUGGCAUAUCACUGCAGCUUACUCACGCCCUGCGCUUGAAAAGGCCUGAGAUUUAUGGGGAUGUAUUUAAAUGCAGCUAAAGCUCUUUCCUUACAGGGGAAUUUUGCUUACAUUUUGAUUUUGAAAAAUUAACCAUCUAAGUGUCUGACGGUAUUUAUACUUCUUUUGACAGUAAUCCAGUCCCUCAUAGCACUGGUGAAUGAUCCACAGCCCGAGCACCCCCUCCGGGCUGACCUAGCUGAAGAAUACUCUAAGGACCGUAAAAAAUUCUGUAAGAACGCUGAAGAGUUUACAAAGAAAUAUGGUGAAAAGCGACCAGUGGACUAAAAUCUGGCACAAGUGCUGUCAGCAACCUAUGAUAGAAGAUCGGAGCAGUGCAUUUGAGACACCCCGUAAAGCAGGACUCUAUGGAAAAUUGACAAGUGCCACCUUUCGGUGUGAACUUGUGGCUGUUACUAACUUUCUACAGUUUUCUUAAUCAAAAGUGGGCUAGGUAACCUGUAAAGAAAGGAUUAAAAUUUAAGAUGUUCUAGUUCUGCUUUCUUUGUUUAAAAAUCACUGCUUCAAUAUACUUUAAAGUAUGCUGUUUUCUUUUUCUUGUCAGAAUUUAUCAAAAAUAUCUUAGACUUAUAUUCUGCCCUUAAAUUGAAAAGGUUGUGGCUGUCAUUUCUUAUUUUUCCUUGCAGUUCCCACUAUCUUGAGUUUAUUCAUUGAAUUUUAACCCCCUCCUCAAAGUGAUGUCUUAGGAAAAAUAUCCCAGUUCCGGCAGAAAAUGAUUGAGUGUUUGGCAGUUUCGUUUACCUUUCUUUCUAAAUGUUGCACUGUGCUUUGUGGGACUUGUUGCAAGUUCCCCUGAACUUCAGUUUGUAACAUAAUAAACAAAAUCCAACCCACAAAACCAAUCAGAAAUAAUGUCUGGGUCUGAUGUAAAUCUGGCCAAUGUCUAUUAAAUGGGGAAACCCAAGUUUUUGUGUGCAUCAUUGAAUUAGAAUAUGGCCUAUGUUCUGCUCUCGGAAAAUUUUGGAAAAAAUCUGUAGCAAACAAGUAGUAGAAUGUGAUUGCAAACUUCCUUCACUUCUCUCUUUAAUACCUAUGCAGAGUAGUGGGAAACAUGCACAGAACAACAUUGCAACCAAUCCAGGAGAGUUCCAGAAAUCGGGGACCAAGAGGUACCAAAGUGACAAACUGUCUUUUGAGUUUAAAAUCAUUAUUUUGGAAACGUUAAUUUUGAAUUCAUUAACUAAAUCUGGCAGCACUGCUGUCCUCUCUGAACGUUUUCCCUCAGAAUGCGUCAGGAGCAUCUGUGUUUGUGGGACGGCUGUCGAGCUGUUCCCAGCCCCAGCACUGCUGCGAGGCCAGGCCUGAGCAAUAAGGUGUGACAGAGAGUGCUGGGCUGCUGCUGCUGCUGUGUUCAGCCACAGGGCAGGGCUUUAGUGAGUGUUCAGUGUCAGGGCAGCUUCAUCAGCCCCAUGGGGCUGAGCUGUCCCGGGGCACUCCUGCGCCUGCUGAAGGAAAGGAAAGGGAACCCUUUCUGUUCAGAGCUGAGCAUCCUUUGCUGUGUCUCUGCUGCUUCUGCUGCCUUUCCUCCUCAGCCUGGAGCGUGAUCCUAGCUCCACUCUUUGUCAAACUGCCACACAGUCAACCUGAUGUCUCCCUUUCUGCAGCUGGGGUCUGCUACUGAGUGAAUGGAUUAUUUCCAGAAAUCCAUCGGUAUCUGGGAGCACAUAUCAUUUCAAUGUGCAGGAAGCUGAGGUGAAAAAACCCUGACACUUAGGUGGUUGCCUGUACUCCUAAAUUCAGUUUUAAUACAGCCUCUGCCUUUGCAACCUUUUGGAACUAGUGUGUCAAGCAGUAGAUCUCUCUUGGUUUUAAUGUCUUGUGUAUUUGCUAUUUCCUUAUUCGUCCCUCUCCUCUGGCUUUUAUUUCCAAUUUAGUGUAAACAAUGACAGCCCAGUACCUCACCUCUGUUGAAAGUAAAUUUUUUUAUGAGUUAGGGAGCUAAGAAAUUUUAUGUUUAAGUGUUCUUAGACAGAUUCUUUGGCAGGUAAAUAAAGUUAAACCACAUUCACCUUAUUUACGGAAACUUGCAUUUCCUAAGUGUUUUCAGGCUUGUGAGAGCACGAUUACCAAAUUUUCACAUCUUUGUGUCUUCAUUUGCAGAAAGUUGGUACUGAUUUUGUUUCAUUUACACUCACUCAGAUUCAUAAUAAAAUAAUGCCAAAUUAUCUGUCAAACUGAAGUGUGUAACUUCUGCAUCACCUGAGUCACUGUACCUUUGAUCAUGUCUGUUGGCAUGGAAACUUACCAUUCUCUAAAUUUUAUUUGAAACAAAACUGUAGCACUAGUUUGCUGCCCUUGUUGCUACUCAGUAGUUACUCUGUGGUUGUAAAGCCUCUCAGGUCAAAGACUGCGCCUGCCUGCCUGCCUGCCUGGCUGUGAUCGGAUGCGGCGGGACGGACAGACGGGCUGUGCCAUCGCAGGAGCUCCGGCUGGGCCGCACCGGCCGCUCCCAUCCAGCUGCAGAGGUCACACGAAGACAGAUCUCGCUAUCAGUCCUCUUGGUGUGUUCUUCAUAGUCCAAUUACUAAACUGUGAGACGUGUAAACAAAGUGCUGGCACGUGUCUGGGGCAGCCUCUGAACAAAGGGAUCCGGCACCUGUGUGGCUGAAGGCUGAGGAGGAGAAAUCCAAGUAUGAAGUCCUAUGAUAACUCAGGAAAUCAAGCUCUUGUUCUCUCUGGUUCCCUAAGCCAUGCUGAAUUUUAAACGUGCAGUUGAACAUCCACAAUGAAAGCAGCGCACUGGUGAAACUACACCCAGGAGUACUGGUAUAGGCUUUCUGCAAGUCCAUUCUGCUACCCUAAUAAAAAUUGCUCUCAAAG
rnacentral:lncRNA from 1 species